AUUGAACGCUGGCGGCAGGCUUAACACAUGCAAGUCGAGCGGAAACGAUUCGUAGCUUGCUCGCAGGCGUCGAGCGGCGGACGGGUGAGUAACACUUAGGAAUCUACCUAGUAGUGGGGGAUAGCUCGGGGAAACUCGAAUUAAUACCGCAUACGACCUACGGGAGAAAGGGGGCAACUUGUUGCUCUCGCUAUUAGAUGAGCCUAAGUCGGAUUAGCUAGUUGGUGGGGUAAAGGCCUACCAAGGCGACGAUCUGUAGCUGGUCUGAGAGGAUGAUCAGCCACACCGGGACUGAGACACGGCCCGGACUCCUACGGGAGGCAGCAGUGGGGAAUAUUGGACAAUGGGGGCAACCCUGAUCCAGCCAUGCCGCGUGUGUGAAGAAGGCCUUUUGGUUGUAAAGCACUUUAAGCAGUGAAGAAGACCAUAUGGUUAAUACCCAUAUUGCGAUGACAUUAGCUGCAGAAUAAGCACCGGCUAACUCUGUGCCAGCAGCCGCGGUAAUACAGAGGGUGCAAGCGUUAAUCGGAAUUACUGGGCGUAAAGCGAGCGUAGGUGGCUUGAUAAGUCAGAUGUGAAAUCCCCGGGCUUAACCUGGGAACUGCAUCUGAUACUGUUAGGCUAGAAUAGGUGAGAGGAAGGUAGAAUUCCAGGUGUAGCGGUGAAAUGCGUAGAGAUCUGGAGGAAUACCGAUGGCGAAGGCAGCCUUCUGGCAUCAUAUUGACACUGAGGUUCGAAAGCGUGGGUAGCAAACAGGAUUAGAUACCCUGGUAGUCCACGCCGUAAACGAUGUCUACUAGUCGUUGGGUCCCUUGAGGACUUAGUGACGCAGCUAACGCAAUAAGUAGACCGCCUGGGGAGUACGGCCGCAAGGUUAAAACUCAAAUGAAUUGACGGGGGCCCGCACAAGCGGUGGAGCAUGUGGUUUAAUUCGAUGCAACGCGAAGAACCUUACCUGGUCUUGACAUAUCUAGAAUCCUGCAGAGAUCGGGAGUGCCUUCGGGAAUUAGAAUACAGGUGCUGCAUGGCUGUCGUCAGCUCGUGUCGUGAGAUGUUGGGUUAAGUCCCGCAACGAGCGCAACCCUUGUCCUUAGUUACCAGCGGGU
rnacentral:rRNA from 1 species